CCGGAGUAUCCAGACCAAAGAGAUUAUUCCGUACCGUAACUGUACCAGCUCGAGUUCAGCUCAUCCUCAUUUCAACCAUCUCCUGACUACUGCGACCGACCUCUAUCCGGUUUUCCAGUGUAGAAUCCGCGAUAACGCAAAAGUUAAAUCCGACUGUAUUCUUUUUGUAGACUAUAUUUAAACUUUCCUGCUGUCGUCGAUGAAUCAUACGCGAAGUAUUUUAUCUCAGAAGGGCGGAAACUGGUCUGGUGGCGGGGAGGAAUUAUGUUACCGAAUGGAACUGCAACGAGAGUAUAGGACGUCCUGGGAGAUGCUGGAUUUAUUUGAUCGAGGAGAAUACUUCAAAAUGAGAAGAUCCUGCCAUGGAGAAGACGACUGGGUGGACAUAAAGUGGAAAGGAGGGGAAAUAACUCACACCAUGCAGCAGGACAGCUUCAGCUGCGGGGUCUUUGUAAUGCAGAGUUCAACAAAGCCAACAGCUGCUUCAUGUGUGCCACUGAUAAAGAACCUGGAUGUGGCCCAAAGACUGACUGGAUUGAAUGUUUUGCAUGCCAACGGUGGUUCCAUGUGCUGUAACUAGAAAUGAAGACAAAAGAGUUCAGAGUGAAGAACACAAACAGGAAGUGCAGUCUUUGUUGUUGAAAAUGUCUGCUAUACCCCAUCCACACUGAAGAGGCUCUGAAAUGUACAUCAACCAGGGAUAAAAAGAAAGUUAACACUGUGAAA